CGCGGCGGUUGAGUUCAAAUUUUUCGAAGAAAAAUACAAGCAGCGAGUGGAGGGAAAUUACAUUUAGUGCGCUGUAUUAUUCACGUGUAUUGAAGAUGGAGCAGCCGAAUUUCGGUAAUGACGCAGUAAAAUCUUCAAGAAGAAGACUUUCUUCGAUUUUAAAAGCUCCUCGAACAUCUAUGAAAGUACAUGGGGCUGAGCAAGAGGAACAAAAGG